rnacentral:rRNA from 1 species
UCCUACGGGGGGCAGCAGUGGGGGAUAUUGCACAAUGGGGGGAACCCUGAUGCAGCGACGCCGCGUGGGUGAAGAAGCGCCUCGGCGCGUAAAGCCCUGUCAGCAGGGAAGAAAAUGACGGUACCUGGGGAGGAAGCUCCGGCUAACUACGUGCCAGCAGCCGCGGUAAUACGUAGGGAGCGAGCGUUGUCCGGAAUUACUGGGUGUAAAGGGGGCGUAGGCGGGGAUGCAAGUUGGGUGUCAAAACUACCGGCUCAACUGGUAGUCGCACUCAAAACUGCAGCUCUUGAGUGAAGUAGAGGCAG